rnacentral:rRNA from 1 species
CGUAACAAGGUCUCCGUAGGUGAACCUGCGGAGGGAUCAUUACACAAAUAUGAAGGCGGGCUGGAACCUCUCGGGGUUACAGCCUUGCUGAAUUAUUCACCCUUGUCUUUUGCGUACUUCUUGUUUCCUUGGUGGGUUCGCCCACCACUAGGACAAACAUAAACCUUUUGUAAUUGCAAUCAGCGUCAGUAACAAAUUAAUAAUUACAACUUUCAACAACGGAUCUCUUGGUUCUGGCAUCGAUGAAGAACGCAGCGAAAUGCGAUAAGUAGUGUGAAUUGCAGAAUUCAGUGAAUCAUCUAAUCUUUGAACGCACAUUGCGCCCUUUGGUAUUCCAAAGGGCAUGCCUGUUCGAGCGUCAUUUGUACCCUCAAGCUUUGCUUGGUGUUGGGCGUCUUGUCUCUAGCUUUGCUGGAGACUCGCCUUAAAGUAAUUGGCAGCCGGCCUACUGGUUUCGGAGCGCAGCACAAGUCGCACUCUCUAUCAGCAAAGGUCUAGCAUCCAUUAAGCCUUUUUUUCAACUUUUGACCUCGGAUCAGGUAGGGAUACCCGCUGAACUUAAGCAUAUCA